CCUACGGGAGGCAGCAGUGGGGAAUAUUGCACAAUGGGCGCAAGCCUGAUGCAGCCAUGCCGCGUGUAUGAAGAAGGCCUUCGGGUCGUAAAGUACUUUCAGCGGGGAGGAAGGUGUUGCGGUUAAUAACCGCAGCAAUUGACGUUACCCGCAGAAGAAGCACCGGCUAACUCCGUGCCAGCAGCCGCGGUAAU
rnacentral:rRNA from 1 species